CACAAUCCCCAACGUAACUGCUGCUUGUAGUGAAUGUUCCUCAGACGGUCCGUCUGGGCUGAUGUAACUCAUUGGGUUUGACUGACUCAACCAGCUCCUCAUCCUUACAGAAUGGGGCUGGAGAAAAUAUAAUGAAGGUGUUUUGAAGGAGGUGGAUGCAGGGACUGUGGAUCCACAGGAUGUCAUCCUUCUAAACUGCACAGAUUCCAGCACUGUUCCCACCGAUCAGAAUCGAACGAUUGUUACCCCACUACUUAUGGUUGGAGAGAGAAAGGGAGCUGGAAGGUUGGUCCAGUUGGUCUGACAUCAGCAUUGGACCAAAUAUUCCGGUGAACCCACUGCGUUAAAGGGAGAGUGGGAACCAGGGUCUGCUGGGUCUAAGGGGAGCACCAGUUUGACCCAAAUUGAUUCCAGUUCUACGUUAUGAUCUGUCAGGCCGAAGACAUUUCUCUAUCUUACCCACGGUGGAACAUCGUCCUCUGAUCGAGUCACAGAUUUACAGCAUCGAAACAGGCUCUUCAGUUCCCAAGUCCUCACCGACCCACAAGCACCUUCUUCCUUGUCACCUCUCCUUCCCAAAUGUCAGAUCCCUGGAAUAUUUACUUCCCAGGCUCGGUUACUCUGCAGCCACGAGUGAGAAGGGAAUGACGUUGAACACAUGCAUCCUGACAUAUCCGUGGGUUGACCUUGCUGUGGUUGCCGUGUGCACUCAGGUACGGCACCACUACCUUUGCUGUUUUAACAUCCUGUACUCUCAACCUCUUGAAGUUUACUUUGCUAUGCAUUUCACUUCCUAGGUAUGAUAAGAUAUCUUUAUUAGUCACACGUACAUCGAAACACGCAGUGAAAUGCAUCUUUUGCAUAGUGAUUUGGGGGGCAGCCUGCAAGUGUCGCCACGCUUCCGGCGCCAACAUAGCAUGCCCACAACUUCCUAACCUGUACGUCUUUGGAAUGUGGGAGGAAACCGGAGCACCCGGAGGAAACCCACGCAGGCACGGGGAGAACAUACAAUCUCCUUACAGACAGUGGCAGGAACUGAACCUGGGUAGCUGGCGCUGUAAUAGUGUUAUGCUAACCGCUACACUACCAUGCCUGCUCAUUGACUUCCCGCUUUGACUCUCUCCUUCCUGAAUUUCCUUUGAGGUUACUAUCUCCCUGCCCAGCUGGUUUAAACCCCCCCCCCCCCCCCCAGUAAACUCCAGCACACUCCCUGCAAGGAUAUUGGUCCAGGCACAGUUUGGCUCAGCCUAUCUGAUUCAUACUCUUCCAACCUGCCUCAGAACAAUCCCAAAGUCUCAGAAAUCUAAAGCCCUCCCAACAACAUUCAUCUGCUCUAACCAAACUGCUGCAGGAACUCAGCUGGUCGAGCAGCAUCUGUGGAGGCAGAGGGAUGGUCAACACUUCAAUGCAUCAGGACUGAGAGCGCAGAGAGGAUAAAGAACAUAGAACAUGGAACAGUACAGCACAGAACAGGCCCUUCAGCCCACAAUGUUGUGCCAACAUAGCUAUUCCCUCCUACCUACAGAGUGUCCAUAUCCCUCCAUUUUCCUCUCAUUCAUGUGCCCAUCCAAGCCCCUCUUAAAAGCCCCCAAUGAGUUUGCCUCCACCACCCUAUCAGACAACGCUUUCCAGGCAUCCAGGUGGCCAGAAUAAAGAGGAGAGAGGGAGGGCUCACAGAGAGAGUGGUUCCUGAGGAAAGCAGACGGCAGGGGAGAUGUGGCUGGCGGUGGGAUCUUGCUCGAGGGCAGAAAUAACGAAGGAUGAUGUGCUGGAUGUGGAGGGGUGAAAGGUGAGGACCAGGGGAACCCUCUCUGUCUGGGGGGAGGGGGAGAGAGCAGACGUGUGGGUAAAGGAGGAGAUGUGAGUGAGGGCUGUGGCAGAGCGGAGACACAUGCCCUGAAGGAAGACCCACCAAAAGCCACGUCUUCCCCUCUCCUCCACUCCUGUGCAGCUGACUCAGGUGGUGCCUGGGUCUGACUGCACGCUCCCAAGGAGCCACCAGCUGACAAGAUGGGCAUAAGUGUGGGAGUGAGGUGGUCCAGAGCACUCCUGCUCCCUGGUCCGUCUGUGGUCAGCCAUGUCCUCUCUGCUCAUCGUCCUGAGGCUGGGGGCUUCACCACCUUAAUCUGAGGUUCUCCGUCUCACCCAGACAUCCUCCCUCCGGGCACCACUACAGCUCUCAAACACGCAGCUCAACGUGCUGCAGCUAAAGUCACCUCCUGUGCACGUGGCUGCCUGGGAGCUGCAGGUAUCCCUGCACUGCCACAUGGUGCAGGGGAUGCAGCUCACUCACCCAGCCAUCCCACCACACCUCACCCUCAGCCCGACCUCCGACACUGUCUGUGUGGAGUUUGCACGUUCUCCCUGUGACCGCAUGGGUUUCCCCGGGGUGCUCCGGUUUCCUCCCACAUCCCAAAGACGUGCGGGUCGCUGGGUUAAUCGUCCACUGUAAAUUGUCCCCAGUGUAUGGGUGAAGGGUAGAAUCUGGGGGGAGUUGGUGGGGGGAGAAUAAUAUGGGAUCAGAGUAGGUUUGGUGUAAAGGGGUGGGUGAUGGUCGGCAUGGACUUGAUGGGCCAAAGGGCCUGUUUCCCUGCUGUGUGAUUUAUGAUGUCAUACUGCAUCGAUGUAUAGGGGGAUCUUGGGGUGCAAAUCCACAGCUCCCUGAAAGUGGAAACAUGCAGACGGGGGGUAAGGAAGGCGUACGGCACGCUUGUCUUCAUCGGUUGGGGUGUUGAGUGUAAAAGUCAGGAAAUCAUAUUGCAGCUGUAUAAAACUUUAGUCAGGCUACAUCUGGAGUACUGUGUGCAGUUCUGGUCGCCCCGUUACAAGAAGGGUGUGGAGGCUUUGGAGACGGUGCAGAGGAGGUUCACCAGGAUGCUGCCUUGAUUAGAGGGUAUGAGUUAUAAGGAGGUUGGACAAACUUGGGUUGUUUUCUCUGGAGCGGUGGAGGCUGAGGGGAGACCUGAUAGAGGUUCAUCAAAUUAUGAGAGGCACAGAUAGUCUUUUUGCCAGGAUGGAAAUGUCAAAUACUAGAGGCCAGAGGUUUAAAGUGAGAGGGGAACGUUUAUAGGAGGUGCACGGGGCAGGUUUUUUACACAUAGUGUGGUGGGUGCCUGGAACGUGCUGCCAGGGGAGGUGGUGGAGGCAGAUUUGAUGAUGACAUUUUAGAGGCAGUCAGACAGAUACACGAACAGGCAGGGAAUGGAGGAUUUAGACCAAGUGGAGGCAGAUGUACAGGUUAAACUGGCAUCAAUGGUCGGCGCAGACACGUGGUCCUGAUGACCCAGUCCUAUCUUCUGUGUUCUGUAAAACAAUCUAUGUUGUGACACCCCCAUAGAUGCCACUCACUAAAGCUCCCUCACGCACCAAACUAGGACCCAGAUCCCUCUGUAUUGCAGGCCUGUGCAGUUUCCCAACAUAUAAAUCAUCUAUGAAUUUUAUUUUACUGCCAAAAUGAGCAAUUUGAUGGGUUUUUUUCCACAUUAUGCUCCAAUUAUCAGAGAGAUAGAAUAUAGAGUCAUAGAGUUAUAUGGAAACAGGCCCUUUGGCCCAACUCGUCUAUGCUGACCAAGUUGCUGACCUGAGCUGGUCCCAUUUGCCUGCAUUUGGCCCGUAUCACUCUGAACCUUUCCUAUCCAUGGACCUGCCUUUUCAAUGUGCUUCUCUCCCUGCGUCAGCCACUUCCUCUGGCUGAUGGGGAUGAAGGUUGACUCCUGGGGUAGUGAACUUGUCAUGUCUGAAGAGAUUAGAUAGACUGGGCCUGUCUUCUCCUGAGUUUGGGAGAAUGAGAGUGACCUCAUUGAAGUGUUGGUUGAUGUUGAUGUUUGGAUAUUGAUGUUGGGAUGUUGAUUUUGGGAUGAUAUUUCCCACGGAUGGGGUGUGUAGAACCAGGAGUCACUGUCUCAAAGUAAGUGGUUGCCCAUUCAGGACUGAGGUGAGAAGAAAUUUGUUCCAGCAGACCAUAGAACCAUAGAACAAUACAGCACAAUUCAGGCCCUUCUGCCCACCAUGUUGUGCCGCCCUUUAAACCACACCUAAGACUAUCUAACCCCUUCCUCCUACAUAUCCCUCUAUCUUAAAUUCCUCCAUAUGCUUAUCUAACAAUCUCUUGAACUUGACCAACGUAUCAGCCUCCACCACCACCCCAGGCAGCGCAUUCCAUGCACCAGCCACUCUCUGGGUGAAAAACCUCCCUCUGACGUCUCCCUUGAACUUCCCACCCAUUACCUUAAAGCCAUGUCCUCUUGUAUUGAGCAUUGGUGCCUUGGGAAAGAGGCGCUGGCUGUCCACUCUAUCUAUUCCUCUCAAUAUUUUGUACACCUCUAUCAUGUCUCCCCUCAUCCUCCUUCUCUCCAAUGAGUAAAGCCCUAGCUCCCUUAGUCUCUCCUCAUAAUCCAUACUCUCCAAUCCAGGCAGCGUCCUAGUAAAUCUCCUCUGCACCCUUUCCGACGCCUCCACAUCCUUCCUAUAAUGAGGUGACCAGAAUGUGGUGAAUCUCUGGAAUUCUCUGCCCUGGAGGGUGGUGGAGGUUCAGCCAUUGAGUUCAAUCAGAACAGUGGUCAUUAGGUUUGUGGAUCAGUGGAAAUGGGACAGGACAGGAAAGUGGAGCUGAGGUAGUGGAUUAGCCAUGAUGAUGAGGGGCCACCUAACUGUGCCCUCCUCACUGAUUGGUUAUUUAGUCAUUCCCUCCGCACUGAAUGGUGUACGGUGCCACGUUUCAUUGCUGCCAGCUUGUGUAGACAAGACAGCUUUCACUGGAAGCAGAUUAUCUGAAAUACUCCAGUGGCUUGGUG